AACACAUGCAAGUCGAACGGGCGUAGCAAUAUGUCAGCGGCAGACGGGUGAGUAACGCGUGGGAACGUACCUUUUGGUUCGGAACAACACAGGGAAACUUGUGCUAAUACCGGAUAAGCCCUUACGGGGAAAGAUUUAUCGCCGAAAGAUCGGCCCGCGUCUGAUUAGCUAGUUGGUGAGGUAACGGCUCACCAAGGCGACGAUCAGUAGCUGGUCUGAGAGGAUGAUCAGCCACAUUGGGACUGAGACACGGCCCAAACUCCUACGGGAGGCAGCAGUGGGGAAUAUUGGACAAUGGGCGCAAGCCUGAUCCAGCCAUGCCGCGUGAGUGAUGAAGGCCCUAGGGUUGUAAAGCUCUUUUGUGCGGGAAGAUAAUGACGGUACCGCAAGAAUAAGCCCCGGCUAACUUCGUGCCAGCCGCCGCGGUAAUAC
rnacentral:rRNA from 1 species